GACGAACGCUGGCGGCGUGCCUAAUACAUGCAAGUAGAACGCUGAAGGAGGAGCUUGCUUCUCUGGAUGAGUUGCGAACGGGUGAGUAACGCGUAGGUAACCUGCCUGGUAGCGGGGGAUAACUAUUGGAAACGAUAGCUAAUACCGCAUAAGAGUAGAUGUUGCAUGACAUUUGCUUAAAGGUGCAAUUGCAUCACUACCAGAUGGACCUGCGUUGUAUUAGCUAGUUGGUGGGGUAACGGCUCACCAAGGCGACGAUACAUAGCCGACCUGAGAGGGUGAUCGGCCACACUGGGACUGAGACACGGCCCAGACCCCUACGGGAGGCAGCAGUAGGGAAUCUUCGGCAAUGGACGGAAGUCUGACCGAGCAACGCCGCGUGAGUGAAGAAGGUUUUCGGAUCGUAAAGCUCUGUUGUAAGAGAAGAACGAGUGUGAGAGUGGAAAGUUCACACUGUGACGGUAUCUUACCAGAAAGGGACGGCUAACUACGUGCCAGCAGCCGCGGUAAUACGUAGGUCCCGAGCGUUGUCCGGAUUUAUUGGGCGUAAAGCGAGCGCAGGCGGUUAGAUAAGUCUGAAGUUAAAGGCUGUGGCUUAACCAUAGUACGCUUUGGAAACUGUUUAUCUUGAGUGCAAGAGGGGGAGAGUGGAAAUUCCAUGUGUAGCGGUGAAAUGCGUAGAUAUAUGGAGGAACACCGGUGGCGAAAGCGGCUCUCUGGCUUGAACUGAAACUAAAGCUCCAAACGUGGGGAGCAAUAGGAUUAAAUACCCUGGUAGCCAAGGGCGAAGUCUAAAUGGAUAUCGAGCUGUCCAUCCCGUCCGCCCGGGGGGGUGAGUAAGUAAUAAAAAAUAUUUUCCCCUUAGAGGGAAACUAGGGA
rnacentral:rRNA from 1 species